UUAUUUUCGGAAAUGGCUGCGGCGUAUGUUGUUCGUAUGAUAUUGUUGUGAAAAUAAAUAUAAGACCCAUUUAUCAACAUGGGUACGUUUACAAAAUUCGUAUCGGACUAUUGUAAAGCCUGGGAAAAAUUGGGACGAGAACAAUUCUUAAAAUCAGUGACACAGUUUAUUAAAGAUGAAGCAAAGAGUCCUUUAUUUUCCAAAUCUGAUAAACUAUCAGGGUUAUCUCAAAACAUCUAUGAUUUGCUACUAUGUGGCCUACGAGGACUCCUAAAAAAAGAUUCAGUUAUAUCUGUUCUAAGAGACAUGAUUGUUUUACAUGCAGACAUACCAUCUAUACUACUGGAUGUUGUGUGUGUGUUAGAUGCAGAAACAUCUCUAGAAGUACAAAGUGAAGAACGCAGUAAUUUUUGUUAUUUAGUGAGAGAACUAGAAUCAUUUAUAUCUGACAAAUUAUUAAAGGAACGUUUAGAGAUUGACACACUACAAGAUGUAGGCACGUUAAAAAAUAAAAAUUUCUAUACAAAGUUUAUUAAAAUCAAAACUAAGUUAUAUUACAAACAACGUAAAUUUAAUUUAUUUAGGGAAGAAAGUGAAGGAUAUUCUAAGCUGAUAGUAGAGUUGAAUCAAGAAAUAUCCGAAAAUACAGAAUGGAAGACUCUUUUAGAAAUUAUUCAGUCUCUGAUAGGGUGCUUCAAUUUGGACCCAAAUAGAGUCUUAGACAUAAUAUUGGAGUCAUUUGAGGCUCGCCCACAUUUAGACAAAUUGUUUAUUUCACUAAUAAAUAAUUACAUGGCCGAUCCACAAGUGAUAAGUGAAGUUUUAGGUUUUAAACUUGGUAACAUGGAAGUUUUAGAAAGUUAUAAGGAGCCACCUGCUUUGAUGACUGUUAUAGCUUUACUUCUACAGCAUCAAGUUAUAUUCCUCGAUGAUAUCUAUCCUUGGUUGCGUCCAGAUGACACAAUCAUGGCUAGAGAAGCUGAAAAAGAACACAAGGCUGUUCAAGAUUUCAUACGUAAGAUUAAUAUUGUAUCCACUAAAGGACCGCAAAGUAAUGCACCUGCAGAAUUCAUUGAGGAGAAAGCUGAUCCUCAGGAGUAUUGGAGUAAUCAAAAACUGGUGCUUUGUGAAGCACUUCUUAAAGUGACAGCAUGGAAGGAAUUUGCUGCACUGUCUGCUCGCCUGCCAACUACAAGUGUUGCACCAAGACCAGCAAUGGCUCUUUGCACAAUGUUGCAUGCAUUAGUGGAACCACUUUAUAGAAAGCAUUGUCGUAUUGCUCCUAAAAUAAUAGGAAAGCCAGUCCCUCCACUAAAAUCGCCUUUGGCACCUAAAGCUUGUAAGACAUUUGAAAGCAUGAAAGAAACUGUUAUACCAGCAAUUGUACUCCUUGGACCAUCUCUUCACCAUGACGCAAUAUUAAUGUAUAAGAUAAUUCGUAUUCUAAGAACAGCGCGAUCAUUAGAUGGUGACCCUCUUUAUCAUGAAGCGUUAACUGUUUUAGACACCGCUAUACUGCCUGCACUUACUUUAAUGGAGGGCAACUGUUGCAUGGCCGAGGAAGUUUACACAUUGCUUAAGUUAUAUCCUUAUCAAUGCAGAUAUUGCAUCUAUGCUCGCUGGAAAAACGAAUCCGGCGAACGGAUACCAUCGCUGAUGCGUGUAAGAGGAAACUCUUUGCAACGUAUUAAACACAUUAUGAAACGUGUUUCUAAGGAAAACAUCAAGCCCCAAGGCCGCCUUAUAGGGAAGUUGUCGCAUGCAGCACCUGCUUUUCUUUUUGACUAUAUGCUUUUGCAGAUUCAAUCGUAUGACAACCUCAUUGGACCAGUGGUGGAAUCUCUAAAGUAUCUGACGUCGUUGUCAUUAGACGUAUUAGGCUACUGCCUCGUUGAAGCGCUUGCGUCGCGACGUGGAACGGCCGGCGCAGCUCACCCACCAGCGCUGCAAGCGCUUGCCGCUUUCUCGGCCGCUGCUUUCAAAAAGCACAAUAUAGAACUUACAGCACUGCUGCAGUUUGUAGCAAAUAGACUUAAAGCGCAACAAAGUCACGAUUUGCUCAUUUUAAAAGAAAUAGUACAAAAAAUGGCAGGCAUAGAAGCUGCUGAGGAAAUGACGCCUGAACAACUAGAUGCUAUGGCCGGAGGAGAGCUACUAAAAGGAGAGGCGGGAUACUUCUCACAAGUUCGCAAUACAAGACGAUCAUCAGCAAGAUUGAAAGAAGCAAUAGUGGGAAAUAAUUUAGAUAUUGCACUUUGUAUAUUAUCUGCACAGCAACGCCAUUGCUGUGUGUGGAAAGAGUAUGCAGAAGACAGCCCCAGUUCCGGCGAGCCGCCAGGAUCGCAACUGAAGGUUGUGGGACGCCUUGCGGACCAAUGCCAGGACGCGCUAGUACAACUGGGGACCUUCCUAGCCUCCUCUCAUGCGCCGGAUGAAUACGCUGCAAGGCUGCCGGCUCUGCAGGAACUACUUCGAGACUAUCAUGUAGAUGCUGAUGUGGCGUUCUUUCUUCAUCGUCCAGUAUUGGCUCAGAAAAUUGCAGGGAAAGCAGAAUAUCUAAGAAAAGGCUCUGAUAGCAAAAGUGAAUCUGUAGAAAAGAGUAUUGAAAGAUAUAACAUUGCGUCCAAAGAAGCGUUAGAACCAAUCGUGACGUCAGUAACGCCUCUAUUACCUUCUAGAGUUUGGGAAGAUAUUUCCCCACAAUUCUAUGUAACGUUCUGGUCUUUAUCAAUGUACGACCUCAGAGUACCAGUGGAAAGUUACGAAAGAGAAGUAGAUCGCCUUAAAACUGCCGCGGCAAAUGCGGCCAAAGACACCUCGCAAGGAUCGAAAGGAAAAAAGGAGCAAGAACGUUUUAAUACUCUUGUUGAUAAGUUACAGGAAGAACGUCGUCGUCAAGAGGAGCACGUGUCAAGAGUGCGUGCGAGAUUACAGCGGGAAUGCGCUGGCUGGUUCCCCGCGCGCGCCGCCAAGUCUGCCAAAAAUGAGACAGUAACUCGCCUCAUGCAGCUUUGUCUGUUCCCGCGUUGCAUCUUCACCGCGCCCGAUGCCCUUUAUUGUGCAGAGUUUGUUCACACCGUGCACGCUCUCAAGACUCCUAACUUCUCCACGCUGCUAUGCUACGAUAGGCUUUUCUGCGACAUAGCAUACUCGGUUAUGUCGUGCUCGGAGGGCGAGGCGGCACGCUACGGGCAGUUCCUGUGCCGCGUUUUGCGCACGGCGAUGCGCUGGCACGCCGACCGCGGCGCUUUCCACGCUGAGUGCGCGCACUACCCCGGCUUCGUCACCAAGUACCGCGUGUCCAACCAGUUCACUGAGGCCAACGACCACGUCGGAUAUGAGAACUAUCGACACGUGUGCCAUAAGUGGCACUACAAGAUCACCAAGGCGAUGGUGGUUUGCCUCGACUCUGGCGACUACGUCCAAAUCCGCAACGCUCUCAUCGUGCUGAUCCGUGUGCUGCCUCACUUCCCUGUGCUGGCUAAACUAGCUCAGAUCAUUGAGCGGAAAGUUGAAAAGGUGAAAGAAGAAGAAAAAUCGCACCGACAAGAUCUGUAUGUCCUAGCGACAGGAUAUAGUGGUCAACUGCGGAAUAAAGUACCGCAUAUGAUGAAGGAGAGCGAUUUUCAUCAGAUCGUCAACUUGCAGGUUGGGACACCACCCAAGGCCACCACGGUGGCCAGCGCGGUGGGAACGGGUGCGGGAGGGGCGGCGGGGCCAAGUGCGGUGCCUCGGGACGAGCCCAAGCGCGAGAGAGAGUCCACGUCGCCGCCGCAACCAACGCAUCACUCGGAUACAGAAAAAAGAGAGUCAAGGACCAGUGAUAGACGUCGAGAAGAAUCUGAUCGUGAAAAAGAAUCUAAACGUGAAUCAAGAUCGUCAUUAAAAGAGAGAGUUAAAGAGGAGAUAAGAAGUAAAGAAAGAUCGCCAAGAGAAAGAUCACAUAGAGAGGAACGUUACUUGGAGACUGUUUCACCCCCUCAUGAACACAGGCAUCCGUCAGAUGACUUAGAUCGUGAUGUGAAACGUCGUAAAGUAGAAAGCAGCAGCAAUGGCAAGGUGAGUAUCAUUAUAAUUAGCCGGACUCGCCUCACGCUCGCGCCGGACUGAUGGAGGGCUGGACUCGGCACUCGGCGUGAGCCCUGCAUCGCUGCCGCUAAACAACUUAACACAAUCAAUAAUAAACGAAUCUAGUGCCUACAUAUUUGGACUAAGACUGUAAGACUUUCAAAACAGUGCUAAAAUAAAAAUUAAAUGUGUAAAAAAUAAUAAAAUGUAUAUCAAAAUAAAACGCAAUGCAACUAUGGACUUUUAAAUAAAAAUAAAACAACGAAAAUAAAGAAAAGAUCAAGAUCUCAAUAUUGCAGAAAGAAAAUAAAAAUCUUAGAAGAGGAACCAUAGCUCUUUCAUCGGAGUGAGAUAAAUGUUGCGUUAUGUAUUGUUUCGUCUUGCAUGUAUGUGUUAGCGUAAAUUUAAUGAAAUGAAAUUAUUAGUAAUGGAAGAUAUAAGAAAUAUGUCAGAGAAGAUGGAAAUAAAUGGAAUCAGACUGGAUAUAAUUUAAAAACACAAUAAGCUGGAAGAAUGAACAUAAUUACCUCAAGAAGAAAAAGUUACACUGUGAGACCUAAUGUAAUGUGUGAGGAUCCAUUUAACGAAAAAUAAAACAUACAAACACAAACUUUGCAGAUUGAAACUGCUGUACGCCUAAAACGACGAAACAAAUAAAACAAAUUUAGUAUAAAUAAUAAUAAAAACAAUGAAAUCAAAACCAAACAUAAAAAAAGGAAUUGAAAAUCGUGUAAGUUCAGUCAGCCCAGUCCUGUCGAGCAUCGGGUAGUAAAGAAAUUGAAGAGCGUUCCCCCGAGAAAGAAAAGAGAAAGGCUAAACUGAGGGGUGACGAAAGGAAAGAGCGUAAGAUGAACCGCAAGCGGGACCGAGCCGAAGAAUCUACGUUA